AUUGAACGCUGGCGGCAUGCCUUACACAUGCAAGUCGAACGGCAGCGGACCUUCGGGUGCCGGCGAGUGGCGAACGGGUGAGUAAUAUAUCGGAACGUACCUUUCAGUGGGGGAUAACGUAGCGAAAGUUACGCUAAUACCGCAUAUUCUGUGAGCAGGAAAGCAGGGGAUCGCAAGACCUUGCGCUGAUUGAGCGGCCGAUAUCAGAUUAGCUAGUUGGUGAGGUAAAGGCUCACCAAGGCGACGAUCUGUAGCGGGUCUGAGAGGAUGAUCCGCCACACUGGAACUGAGACACGGUCCAGACUCCUACGGGAGGCAGCAGUGGGGAAUUUUGGACAAUGGCGCAAGCCUGAUCCAGCCAUGCCGCGUGAGUGAAGAAGGUCCUCUGGAUUGUAAACCUCUUUUGGCAGGAAACAAACCUGCGCUAUACGCGCAGCUGAGGGUACCUGCAGAAUAAGCACCGGCUAACUCCGUG
rnacentral:rRNA from 1 species